UAAAGUAUUUAAAUGGUUGCACUGAAUCUCUCUCUAUCCACCCUCGCGAGUCCUCUCCGUCGAAUGCUUCGUGUAUCAUUACCGUUUUGGUUCGAGUUUGGAGGUUUCAACUCAGUUUAGAGUUUGGAUUCGAGCAGCUUUUUCACAGGUUUGUUUUGAUUUCAAAUCGAGUUUUGUUUCAGUUCAGAAUUGGUUGCAUUUUGGAAUUCUGGCAUUUUUACGGUUUCAACUCAAUUACGUCUUCUAUUACUGAGUUCUAUUACAGUUUGAUUAUGAUUUGAUUUUGGUGAAGAGUUUGAAUUAAAAUUAACACGAGUAUACAACUUCAUAAACCUAAAUUGGAUGAGCACUUGCCGGUUGAAAUGAAAAAAAAUGCGGAUUUCGUUCUCACUCGCUCAUAUUGCGACCCUAGAGGUUGAUCCUCCAGGAUGCUCUUUUAAUCCCACGCAUGAAAGUCAUCAGAGAAGAAGCAGGCCAAGAAGGGAAAAAAGUAAAAACAGAACAGAAUGUUUGUUAACAAAAACUUUAUGGAUGAUCAAGAGAUUGUUCGAGGGUCGUUGACAAUGAUCCUGCUCUCAAAAACGUUAUGUCUUCUUAGCCAGAUGUUGUUUGCAAUGAAUGAAAACAAGGAGUCUUGUCUACACUGUCUGAAAGGAUGAUGAAUUACUUACUAAUGUCUGUAAUUAUGUAAUCUCGUCUUUUGUUUAUAAAUCUUAGUAUUGUUCUUUAAAUGUUGGGUAAUAGUAAUACCUUUCAACAAACCAUUAGACUUUUCAUUUAGUAGGUGUUAUAUUUUUAAGUGGCUAUUAUUAUAUUAAUAAGAAAUAAUUAGUGACAAUUAAUAUAUAAAUGGGGACAAUCACAUUUUAUUAAUUGUAUAUGGUUACAGGGGUGAGAAGACUUUGGUUCUUUCAACCCUUAUCCAAAAGACAAACGCCCAGGAAAUGAAGUGGAUUAUCAUGAUAAUCCUGAAAGAUUUGAAGCUAGGAAUUAGUGAAAAAAAGCAUUUUUCAUGAAUUCCAUCCAGAUGCUGAAGACUUGUUUAAUGUUACAUGUGACUUAAAAUUAGUUUGUGAAAAACUAAGGGAUCGGAACCAACGUCAUAAGCGGCAGGAUAUUGAAGUUGGAAAAGUUGUGCAGCCUCAAUUAGCUAAGAGAGUUGCUAACGCUGCUGAAGCAUGGAAGAAGGUUUGUUUCACUUAGCCUUUUAAUCUUAACUUAUUAAAAUAAAAUGGGAAACAUUUUGCCACAUUCAGGUUUGUUUCACUCAACUUGUCUUUCCACAUCAAGCACGUGAAGAAACCUGGAACGAGGAUAGAGUUUUUCUUAAUUAUUCAAUGUGAUAAUACACUGAAUGUAAUAAAGCCAAUAUUUACAUUUUUUAUGGCUCAGCAAAUUAUCAUAGAUAUUCUCUCUCUUUCCAUAUGAAUAGCUGAAAUUCUAUCAUUAAAUACCUUCUGUUUAUCCUCUGACCUCCUAAAAAUAUACUUGUUCCUUCUAAAUCAACCUCUAUGUAUCCUGUGUUUCAGCUAGGGUCCUUGGCUCUAGGCUAAACCUUUAGAAUGUACCAAGAACCAAGAAAAUUUACAUUUGAAGCUAAGAAUCUUUCUAAUGCCAAUGAGCUUGUAGCUUACUUAUCCAGGGACGGUUCUUUACGACUUUAGUGUAAUGAUGAUAUUAUCCCUAGAUUGGUGUACAUUUUAUUUAUUUAUUGUCAUGUAUAGACAUGAUUAACAUGCUGCUUAGUAAAAUUUAACUUCUCUUUUUCUUUUGAUGCUACAAGGGGUGACUCUUACAGGAACCGCCGCCCGUGAAUCGUUGUAAACAAAUUGAAGCUAAAUUCAUACUUAAUGACAAAGGACACAUGUCUGAUUGUAAGGUGUACAUGUUGCACUAUCUUCCAUUCAAAUUGUAUACAAGCUAAAUUUUCUGAGCCAUAGCUAUAUGCAGCUGCAUAUUGAAAUAUUGAAUCCACUAUCUUCCAUUCAUAUAUCUUAUUUUUGACAGAGUGGGUGUCGAACAGGGAUGGCUAACUCUACUUGUGAACAUGUAGAAGAAAUUCAAUUAUGCUAGUUCUUAUUGGAAAUUAUUUCUUCUCCUACUUACUCACUUACUCAAUUUUAUGUUUUCUUAUAGAAAUCUACAGUCCAAUGGUUUGACGAGUAGAUUACCUCCUGAGCUUGGACAUUUGAGAUACCUUCAAGAUCUUUGGCUACAAAGGAAAGGUCCUUAUCAUUGUCAAUGUUGCCUCACAAUGGUAUGCUAUACUUUAAUUAUUAAUUGUGUAAUUACUUUGUAAUAAUUAGUUGAAUUAUUAAAACCUUGUCAUAAUUUUUCUGAGUCUUGCUGCAACUAAUGUAUUAAUAACAUCAGAAACAUGAAUUAAAAAAACCUGCAGAAUUCGGUAUACAUAUAGAAGGUAGGAAAGAAUAUUACCUUUGCAUGGAGGGACUAGAAUACUCUUUUGAAAGUUGAGCUGCCAAGUUAGACAGUGAACAACUUUGUGUGCUGCAUAUGUAUACCUUCCGCAUUAGCAUGUUCCAUUAAGAAUAUGUGAGCAUUGCAUAUAUCUUCAAUGUGAACUAAAGCAAUUGACCCCAUUCGCGCAUUUACAGCCGAUAGUAUCUUGAAGUUUUCAGUUUCACCUACAUACAUACAUGAUCAAGUUGGUCACUAUAACAUGUUAAAUUUUAAGCAUGGAAGUUUAAUGCUUUAGUAAGUUCUGUUACGCACGCUACAACACUAUUGUACCCCAAGUUUUCAGUUUCACCUACAUACAUACAUGAUCAAGUUGGUCACUAUAGUAAUUCAUGUUAAAUUUUAAGCAUGGAAGUUUAAUGCUUUAGUAAGUUCUGUUACGCACGCUACAACACUAUUGUACCCCAAUAGCGUAUCACAGAACAAUAGUCACUACCCGAUAGUGCUAGUAUUGCCUUGCCUCUAUUUGACAUUACUACUAGAUAUGUUAGCUAUGAUAGCAAUUUACUCUUACUAAUGUCUCUGAAUGUAAGCAUGACAUGCAUAAUUGAUGAUGAAAUCACCUGUUAGUGGUGACAGUAGAACUUUAACACUUGCCGGUAGCAGUGAAGAAAGGGCCUGGAACAGUAGUUGUUAUAACUGAAACAAGAUCAAUACCAUUCUCUUUUGUGAAUUUAAAUGCCGCUUCUUCUGUGAGAAGCUUUGAAAGUGCAUAAACCUGUCACCACAAAACAAAACUCAAGGAUUCAAUUUUGAAUUUUGUGAUAUGAAAUGAAUGUUGGAUGAUUGCUGGAAAUGUGAGGAUCUACCGUUAUUACCGACACUUUUCAUUUUAGUUUAAGACUUUUCUUUUCCUGGAGUUCCUUUUCUAAUUAGUAUUCUUUGGGAUGGAUUUUAAUAUAUUAUCAGCAAGAGAUCUGGUGUUGGUAUUGUGCCUAAGACAAUGGAUGUCGAGAUUAUGGCAAUGAUGAAGGAACAUAUGACUGAGUGCUAUUAGACUUAGCUUUGUUUAGUUUUAUUUAUCUAUAAAAUUCAAAUAGAUAUUAUAGCAUAUAUAAUGAUGUUAGCAAUAAGUUUAUGCAGUAAUAGAUAAUUGUUAAUGACCUGCAUGCUCUGAAAAGUCCAAUACCACAUGGUACACCCCUCUCUGUAAUACUGCUAGGGUAGCAAGUAUUAAUAGAUAUUUUUUUUAUUUUAAAAAUAUAUUACCUGCGGAUUUACCUGCAGAUAUUAAGUCCUAUGGAUUUACCUGCGAAUUUACCUGCGGACAUUUCCUGCGGAUUUAGCUGCGGAGUUACCUGCGGAAUUACUUGCUGAAAGUAUUACCCACGAAGGUUUUAGCUGGGGACAAAAAUCCGUAGGAAAAUCCGCAGGUAACAUGUUUCCUGCGGAAAUUUAGCUAAAACUCGCAGGUAAAUCCGCAGGAAAUUCGAGUAUCUCUAGUAGUGAAAACAAAACUCAACUAUAAAACCAUAUUCAAACAUCCAGAGGAGUAUCUCAGUAUCAUACAUCUAGAGGAGUAUCUCAGUAUCAUACAUCCAGAGGAACUCAACUAUAAAAACAAAUCUAUAUAAUAUCAUACCUCUCCAAAACUCCCAAAGAUGUAUCUCAGUAUCAUAAAUCUUGUAAAACUCUAUAAAACCAUAAAUUAUUUCAUAAAUUAUUUCAGAAUUAAAUCAUGCAUAUAUUAAAAUAGAUUUCAAAAU